GUGCUCACUUCAGCCGCACAAAUACUAAAAUUGGAAUGAUACAGACAAGAUUAGCAUAGCCCCUGCACAAGGAUGACACGCAAAUUCAUGAAGUGUUCCAUACUUUU